AUGGAGGCGCUCUACCUGCUGGCGUCCCUGGCCACCACCCUCCUCACCUCCACCCUGCUCUCCCUGCUGCUCCUCCUCCGCCUCCCCUUCGCUCGCCGUUCCGCUCGAGGUGGUGGCGGCGCCGGCGCCACGCGGCUCUACGAGGGCCGCGUCCGGCACUCGCGCCGGCGGCCGGCGGGGCACGCCUUCGAGUACGCCGUGCGCUACGCCCUCGUGGACCUCGACCUCCUCCCCCUCUCCGGCUACCUCUCCGCCGCCGACGCCCGCCGCAUCGCCUCCACCUCCGGACCCGUGCGUCUCCUGACGGUACCCAAGAGCGUGGGGUACGAACAGAACCCACUCAGCGUCUACUACUGCUAUGACGCAGCGGCGCAAGAACAAGAUGAACACCUCAAGAUGUGCAUUGCUGAAGUCACAAAUACUCCCUGGGGGGAGAAGGUGAUGUUUACCUUCCAACCGGGUUCUGAUCUCGUUGCAAAGCCUUUACAUGUCAGCCCCUUCAUGGAUAUGCUUGGCAAUUGGAGUAUUCGUGCUGAUGCCCCAGGCAAUAAUCUGUACGUUGCUAUUGCGGUUCAGCAUCCUACACUUGGGAACUAUUUUACUGCAGCUUUGGAUGCCAAGUUAGUUGGCCACACAAAUGACUCGGUUAAGCUAGCAACAUUCUUCUGGCUGAUGCCUCAUAAGGUUGCCGCAGGGAUAUACUGGGAGGCCUUCAGGCUUUGGUUGAAGAAUGUGAGAUUCCUAGACCAUCCGAGGUACCUGAGCGGGAGCUACAGGUCCGAAGCUCUGAAGCGCGACCUUGAGAUCCGUUCCUCCUGCAGCUUCCUGCAUCAGAAACUGAGAGAGAGCAUUGGAAGAAGCGGCACAGCAACAACCUAUGAAACAGCAGAAAACUCAAACCAUCAGGAUUACAAAGAUGGCGGAGGGAGCAUCGGGGCGAGGUGGUGCGUCUGGAGGGAUGCUCAAUGGCCAUGGUGCUGA
rnacentral:rRNA from 1 species